CGGACGACGCUGGCGGCGUGCUUAACACAUGCAAGUCGAACGGUGACGAGGAGCUUGCUCCUCUGAUCAGUGGCGAACGGGUGAGUAACACGUGAGCAACCUGCCCCAGACUCUGGGAUAACAGUUGGAAACAGCUGCUAAUACCGGAUACGAGACGGAGAGGCAUCUCUACCGUCUGGAAAGUUUUUCGGUCUGGGAUGGACUCGCGGCCUAUCAGCUAGUUGGUGAGGUAAUGGCUCACCAAGGCGACGACGGGGUAAGCCGGCCUGAGAGGGCGACCGGCCACACUGGGACUGAGACACGGCCCAGACUCCUACGGGAGGCAGCAGUGGGGAAUAUUGCACAAUGGGGCGAAAGCCUGAUGCAGCGACGCCGCGUGAGGGAUGACGGCCUUCGGGUUGUAAACCUCUUUCAGCAGGGAAGAAGCGAAAGUGACGGUACCUGCAGAAGAAGCACCGGCUAACUACGUG
rnacentral:rRNA from 1 species